rnacentral:rRNA from 1 species
GACGUAGGGCGCGAGCGUUGUCCGGAUUUAUUGGGCGUAAAGAGCGUGUAGGCGGUUUGUUAAGUCUGAUGUGAAAGCCCUGGGCUCAACCCAGGAAGUGCAUUGGAAACUGGCAGACUUGAAUACGGGAGAGGGCAGUGGAAUUCCUAGUGUAGGAGUGAAAUCCGUAGAUAUUAGGAGGAACACCGGUGGCGAAGGCGGCUGCCUGGACCGAUAUUGACGCUGAGACGCGAAAGCGUGGGUAGCAAACAGG